rnacentral:rRNA from 1 species
GAUGAACGCUGGCGGCGUGCCUAAUACAUGCAAGUCGAGCGAACAGACGAGGAGCUUGCUCCUCUGACGUUAGCGGCGGACGGGUGAGUAACACGUGGAUAACCUACCUAUAAGACUGGGAUAACUUCGGGAAACCGGAGCUAAUACCGGAUAAUAUAUUGAACCGCAUGGUUCAAUAGUGAAAGACGGUUUUGCUGUCACUUAUAGAUGGAUCCGCGCCGCAUUAGCUAGUUGGUAAGGUAACGGCUUACCAAGGCAACGAUGCGUAGCCGACCUGAGAGGGUGAUCGGCCACACUGGAACCGAGACACGAUCCAGACUCCUACGGGAGGCAGCAGUAGGGAAUCUUCCGCAAUGGGCGAAAGCCUGACGGAGCAACGCCGCGUGAGUGAUGAAGGUCUUCGGAUCGUAAAACUCUGUUAUUAGGGAAGAACAAAUGUGUAAGUAACUAUGCACGUCUUGACGGUACCUAAUCAGAAAGCCACGGCUAACUACGUG